CGAGCUGGGUUCAGAACGUCGUGAGACAGUUCGGUCCCUAUCUGCCGUGGGCGUUCGAGAUUUGAGAGGAGUUGACCUUAGUACGAGAGGACCGGGUUGAACGUAUCUCUGGUGUUCCGGUUGUCACGCCAGUGGCAUCGCCGGGUAGCUAAAUACGGACGGGAUAACCGCUGAAAGCAUCUAAGCGGGAAGCCCACCUCAAGAUGAGAUCUCGCGCAGAUUAAUCUGCCUUAAGAGCCCUUGUAGACCACAAGGUUGAUAGGCGCGGUGUGGAAGUGCAGCGAUGCAUGGAGCUAACGCGUACUAAUUGCUCGUGUGGCUUGACCAU
rnacentral:rRNA from 1 species